UCAAGUCAUCAUGGCCCUUAUGUCCAGGGCGACACACGUGCUACAAUGGCCGGCACAGCGGGAAGCGAGGGGGCGACCUUGAGCGGAUCCCUCAAAGACCGGUACUCAGUUCGGAUUGCAGUCUGCAACUCGACUGCAUGAAGUUGGAAUCGCUAGUAAUCGUGGAUCAGCCAAGCCGCGGUGAAUACGUUCCCGGGCCUU
rnacentral:rRNA from 1 species